rnacentral:rRNA from 1 species
GUGAGGAAUUUUCCGCAAUGGGCGAAAGCCUGACGGAGCAAUGCCGCGUGAAGGAUGAAGGCCUAUGGGUUGUAAACUUCUUUUCUCAGAAAAGAAUUAUGACGGUAUCUGAGGAAUAAGCAUCGGCUAACUCUGUGCCAGCAGCCGCGGUAAGACAGAGGAUGCAAGCGUUAUCCGGAAUGAUUGGGCGUAAAGCGUCUGUAGGUUGUUUAAAAAGUAUUCUGUCAAAGAUUAGGGCUUAACCCUAGAUAGGCAGAAUAAACUUUUAAGCUAUAGUUUGGUAGAGGCAGAGGGAAUUCCCGGUGGAGCGGUGAAAUGCGUAGAUAUCGUGAGGAACACCAAAGGCGAAGGCACUCUGCUGGGCCAAUACUAACACUGAGAGACGAAAGCGAGGGGAGCAAAUGGGAUUAGAAACCCUAGUAGUCC